rnacentral:rRNA from 1 species
AUUGAACGCUGGCGGCAUGCCUUACACAUGCAAGUCGAACGGCAGCAUGAUCUCGCUUGCUGGAUUGAUGGCGAGUGGCGCACGGGUGAGUAAUACAUCCGCACGUGCCCUGUAGUGGGGGAUAACUAGUCGAAAGAUUAGCCAAUACCGCAUACGACCUGAGGGUGAAAGUGGGGGACCGCAAGGCCUCAUGCUAUAGGAUCGGCCGAUGUCUGAUUAGCUAGUUGGUGGGGUAAAGGCUCACCAAGGCGACGAUCAGUAGCUGGUCUGAGAGGACGAUCAGCCACACUGGGACUGAGACACGGCCCAGACUCCUACGGGAGGCAGCAGUGGGGAAUUUUGGACAAUGGGCGAAAGCCUGAUCCAGCAAUGCCGCGUGUGUGAAGAAGGCCUUCGGGUUGUAAAGCACUUUUGUCCGGAAAGAAAUGGCUCUGGUUAAUACCUGGGGUCGAUGACGGUACCGGAAGAAUAAGAACCGGCUAACUACGUG